UGCCGGAUAGCUCACUUGGUAAAGCAUUGCGUUCUAAUGGCAGAAGUGACUAUCACGUCCGGGUUCGAGCCCCGCUGGAAU